ACUCUCCAGUUCCUUUUCCCAUCAGAUCUGAGCACUCGUCUUAGUGAUCAAAAAAGGAGGAAAAGAAAUACUGAGGCUGGCCUCACAGUGUCUGUAAUCUUGUGUAUAUAGCAUGUGGGCUAGCUGACAAGG